CGGACACCAGCCGCGCGCCCUCGCCGGGCGCCGGGACCGGAAAAUCACCGCGAAGGGAGGGACGAGGAAAGGCGGCGGGUGGCUUCAGGACAAGACGGGGUUUCGCUGUGUUGGCUGGGCUGGUCUCCAGCUCCUAACCGCGAGUGAUCCGCCAGCCUCGGCCUCCCGAGGUGCCGGGAUUGCAGACGGAGUCUCGUUCACUCAGUGCUCAAUGGUGCCCAGGCUGGAGUGCAGUGGCGUGAUCUCGGCUGGCUACAACCUCCACCUCCCAGCCGCCUGCCUUGGCCUCCCAAAGUGCCGAGAGUGCAGCCUCUGCCCGGCCGCCACCCCGUCUAGGAAGUGAGGAGCAUCUCUGCCUGGCUGCCCAUCGUCUGAGAUGUGGGGAGCGCCUCUGCCCCACCGCCCCGUCUGGGAUGUGAGGAGCGCCUCUGCCCGGCCGCGACCCCAUCUGGGAGGUGAGGAGCGUCUCUGCCCGGCCGCCCCGUCUGAGAAGUGAGGAGACUCUCCGCCCAGCAACCGCCCCGUCUGAGAGGUGAGGAGCACCUCCGCCCGGCAGCCGCCCCGUCCGAGAAGACUUUGUGAUUACAUUGGGCCCAUCCAGAUCAUCCAGGAUCAUCUUCCCAUCUCAAGAUUCUUCACUUAAUCACAUCUGCAAAAUUCCUUUUGCUGUGUAAGCUGUGAGAUAUCGGUGGGCGAGGAUGUGAUGCCUGAAGAUGUGGCAUCUACCUUGAAACAGUCAAGGACCUGAGGAUGAAGCCAGCAUCUGAGGAAGACAGACAGAAAGGAUCUGGAUACAUCAUGAGCCUGAAAAGUAUCUUGCAUACACAACUGGCAGCACAGAAUCCUGACAAACCUCUCAUCAGAAAUCAACCACAGACUCUUUAUGCUCUUACCAAAAUGCUGGCUUUGAGAACUAAUUAUGAAUGAAAAUUACUGAUGUGAUUUUCAGUCUAGGGAAGAAUAUCAAGUUAAACUUUAUGAAGUCCAAGACAAUGGGAAAAGAAGAGGUGUUCCUGUCCAGGCCCUCUUCCAGUUAGAAGGUGAUGGUUUCCAGAAGUCUGCACCUGUAUUUCAAUUACCUAUAAUGGAGUUUAUAGGACUAAACUAUACUCACUAUAUUUUCUUAUUUUUGUGUGUGUGUUUGAUGUGCUGGCAACGGGGGACUUGGUAACUGGGGAGGGAUAGCUCUUCUCAGGAAGAGCUAAUUCUUAGAGAUAGAGGGAGCAUGCUUUUCAUAUGCAAACUACUCAAACUGGAGUCCACACUUCCCCAACCUCCUCUAUAGGACUCUUACUCUCCUGCCCGAUAUUCCCCUGCUCUAAUCAUCUUGGGGCCAGGUACCAGGCAACUCAGGACGGCCACUACACCUCCAGAGCCCACUGACAUUAUUAAAACUAGACAAUUCUAAGCUGCUUGCCCUACCUUGACCUUAUUCCUUUUGUUGCAAAACGCAAUAAAGGGUCUUGCCACAUUUUCCUUCUGCUCCCUCUGCCUCCGGACUGACCCUGGUGCUUUCCUUUGUGGGCCUUCGUGGCUUACCUCCUGUUUCUAGGAACCUGCAAGUGUAAAAACUUCUUUCUUCAUGACAGUCAUUUCCAUGUCUGCGUGCCUUACUAUACCUGAUUUAAACAAAUCCUGAGCACAUUUUAAAACAUAAAUUCAACAUCUGGACCUGCUAUGCAGAGCAAUUCAGGCGGAGGGAAUGGCUCAUGCACACUCUCCAAGUACUGUUAGGUAUGAGUUCUAAAUUUCUCUUCGAAGAAUCAAUAUGUCAGUAUGUUCAGUUCUUUGCCUUCUACUGUUAAACUUAACUUCCUCGUAAAGCAACCUUUUUCCAUUAUCUGCUCCACCCUGACUCAUUCCGAUUACCUGCUCAUUCUCCACCCUGGCUUACUCUGAUUUCCUGCUCUGCCCGUAACCAUUUUUCCCGCCAAACCACUCACCCUGUCACUCUCUUUAAAUUAGCCAAUUGGAAUUAGUUUAGCCUGUGCAGUCUAACCCAAGCCAAUAGGGGAACGAUACAGCAGCAGGGACCACGUGCCUCAGGGAUAAGAACCCCUUCCCCUCCCUUGUCCAAGUGUGCGCUCACCAUUGCUCCAUCUGUAAGGGUGCACCCUUCUAUAGAAGUACGUUGUCUUGCUGAGAAUU